UACGUAGGGUGCAAGCGUUAAUCGGAAUUACAGGGCGUAAAGCGUGCGCAGGCGGUUUUGUAAGUCUGUCGUGAAAGCCCCGGGCUCAACCUGGGAAUUGCGAUGGAGACUGCAAGGCUUGAAUCUGGCAGAGGGGGGUAGAAUUCCACGUGUAGCAGUGAAAUGCGUAGAGAUGUGGAGGAACACCGAUGGCGAAGGCAGCCCCCUGGGUCAAGAUUGACGCUCAUGCACGAAAGCGUGGGGAGCAAACAGG
rnacentral:rRNA from 1 species